rnacentral:rRNA from 1 species
UACGGGGGGAGCAAGCGUUGUUCGGAUUUACUGGGCGUAAAGGGCGCGUAGGCGGCCAGCACAAGUCACUUGUGAAAUCUCCGAGCUUAACUCGGAACGGUCAAGUGAUACUGCUGUGCUAGAGUGCAGAAGGGGCAAUCGGAAUUCUUGGUGUAGCGGUGAAAUGCGUAGAUAUCAGGAAGAACACCCGUGGCGAAGGCGGCUCUCUGGGACGGUACUGACGCUGAGACGCGAAAGCGUGGGGAGCGAACAGG